rnacentral:rRNA from 1 species
UACGGGGGGAGCAAGCGUUUGUUCGGAUUUACUGGGCGUAAAGAGCGCGUAGGCGGUCGUGACAAGUCACUUGUGAAAUCUCCGGGCUUAACUCGGAACGGUCAAGUGAUACUGUCGGACUAGAGUACAGAAGGGGCAACUGGAAUUCUCGGUGUAGCGGUGAAAUGCGUAGAUAUCGAGAGGAACACCUGCGGCGAAGGCGGGUUGCUGGGCUGAUACUGACGCUGAGGCGCGAAAGCCAGGGGAGCGAACGGG